CAAUAGCGUAUAUUUAAGUUGUUGCAGUUAAAAAGCUCGUAGUUGGAUUUCGGAUGGGACUUGCCGGUCCGUCGUUUCGAUGUGCACUGGCCAGUCCUAUCUUGUUGUCGGGGACUAGCUCCUGGGCUUCACUGUCCGGGACUAGGAGCUGACGAGGUUACUUUGAGUAAAUUAGAGUGUUUAAAGCAAGCCUACGCUCUGAAUACAUUAGCAUGGAAUAACACGAUAGGACUCUGGCUUAUCUUGUUGGUCUGUGAGACCAGAGUAAUGAUUAAGAGGGACAGUCGGGGGCAUUCGUAUUUCAUUGUCAGAGGUGAAAUUCUUGGAUUUAUGAAAGACGAACUUCUGCGAAAGCAUUUGUCAAGGAUGUUUUCAUUAA
rnacentral:rRNA from 1 species